AUGCACCUCUUGACUGUCAUGGAGCAUUGAUGUGGCUUUCUGAUUUCUGAAAGGUGCAAGAUCAAUUUCUUCGCGCUUUCUGCUUGCUCUUCCAAUGGCAGGUUGGAUUGAAUAGAAGAAAACAGUU